rnacentral:rRNA from 1 species
CCUACGGGUGGCAGCAGUCGAGAAUCAUUCACAAUGGGGGAAACCCUGAUGGUGCGACGCCGCGUGGGGGAAUGAAGGUCUUCGGAUUGUAAACCCCUGUCAUGUGGGAGCAAAUUAAGAAGAGAGUACCACAAGAGGAAGAGACGGCUAACUCUGUGCCAGCAGCCGCGGUAAUACAGAGGUCUCAAGCGUUGUGCGGAAUCACUGGGCGUAAAGGGUGCGUAGGCUGUUUCGUAAGUCGUGUGUGAAAGGCGCGGGCUCAACCCGCGGACGGCACAUGAGACUGCGAGCCUAGAGUAAUGGAGGGGGAACCGGAAUGCUCGGUGUAGCAGUGAAAUGCGUAGAUAUCGAGAGGAACACUCGUGGCGAAGGCGGGUUCCUGGACAUUAACUGACGCUGAGGCACGAAGGCCAGGGGAGCGAAAGGGAUUAGAUACCCCUGUAGUC